rnacentral:lncRNA from 1 species
GACUGUGCCAAAGACAGCAAAGGUUAGAGGAUUCUUCAGCAUAGUCGGCAUGAAUUAAUUGGGAAUUCAUUGUAGGAAGAAGACCAAUUGCUUGCAGUAGAAGAAAAAAGAAAAGAAAGAUAUUUUCGGUCACAAAACUUGCACCAAGGGCACAGACACACUGUUCUUCUAGCUACGCCAACAAGUUUAAUAAAAGGCAUUGUGUCAAGAGGAGUGACUGAAAAGCCCCAACAGAUAAUGAUGAAAAAUGACAUUUCUUUAACUACACCUUUGAGUUUCUGAGGGUUUGAGAAGGAGCUGAAAUGCUGUUUCAGGACGGUUCAUUCUAAUUUGAACAAAGGAAGAUUUCCAGCUUUGACCAUGUCUUCUUAAAUUCAGUUCUCGUAAAGAGUUUGUAUGGACUGAGCACCAAAGCAGGUAUUGUCUCUUCUUAAAUACCUUUGUAGGGAUAUUCCUUUCUAGUUUUGGCAAGGGAUUUGCUUAAUAGUUGCCAGAUAAUGAUAAAUAUAAUAUAACAUUAAUGUUUUUAGCUCCUCCACUCGAUUAUCAUCUGAAGGAGUAAG